rnacentral:lncRNA from 1 species
AUUAAUUAAAUUUCCUAUUGGUUUGCUUGUCUUUUUUCAGUUCCAUUAAUGAAAUAUCCUUAAAUGAAUAUAAACAUCCUAUUUUUUUAAAUUUCCUACUUCAUUAAUUAUACUUCCUAUUUUUUUGCUUGUCUUUUUCAGUUCCAUUAAUGAAAUAUCCUUAAAGGAAUUUAAAAUAUAUAUUUUAUUUCUUGUUUUUUUAGUUACAUUAAUGAAAUAUCCUUAAAUGAAUUUAAACUACAUAUUUUAUUGCUUGUCCUUUUUAGUCACAUUGAUGAAAUAUUCUUAAAUAACUUAUGAGUUUUAAUAAUAAAACUCAUAAGUUAUUCUUACGUGCAUAAUUUUCAUAAUGGAGAUUUUUCAAAACGUGCAUCA